rnacentral:ribozyme from 1 species
ACCAUGUAUAUAGUUCUGUAACAGGGUGGAUCCGACGCCUCUUGGAGGCUACUGUAUGCUCUCCUCCCCAGCUCCUACUCAUUACGUCCGCGACGUACAGAACAGUAACUAGUCGCCUAAAUAACCAAGCUUGGGUACACGGGGGAACCAACCCCUUGGGCGGAUGGGCGGCAAGGCUGAAUUGAGAGGG